UUUCCGGUUGAUCCUGCCGGACCUGACUGCUAUCGGAUUGAUACUAAGCCAUGCGAGUCUUUGUAGUAAUACAAGGCAGACGGCUCAGUAACACGUAGUCAACCUACCCUAUGGACAAGAAUAAUCUCGGGAAACUGGGCAUAAUUCUUGAUAGAUCAUAAUGCCUGGAAUGGUUUAUGGUUAAAAUGAUUCGUCGCCAUAGGAUGGGACUGCGGCCUAUCAGCUUGUUGGUGAGGUAAUGGCCCACCAAGGCGAUUACAGGUACGGGCUCUGAGAGGAGAAGCCCGGAGAUGGGUACUGAGACACGGACCCAGGCCCUAUGGGGCGCAGCAGGCGAGAAAACUUUGCAAUGUGCGAAAGCACGACAAGGUUAAUCCGAGUGAUUUCUGCUAAAGAAAUCUUUUGCCAGUCAUAAAACCACUGGUGAAUAAGGGGUGGGCAAGUUUUGGUGUCAGCCGCCGCGGCAAAACCAGCACCUCAAGUGGUCAGGAUGAUUAUUGGGCCUAAAGCAUCCGUAGCCGGCUUUGUAAGUUUUCGGUUAAAUCCAUGUGCUCAACGCAUGGGCUGCCGAAAAUACUGCAUGGCUAGGGAGUGGGAGAGGUAGACGGUACUCAGUAGGAAGGGGUAAAAUCCUUUGAUCUACUGAUGACCACCUGUGGCGAAGGCGGUCUACCAGAACACGUUCGACGGUGAGGGAUGAAAGCUGGGGGAGCAAACCGGAUUAGAUACCCGGGUAGUCCCAGCUGUAAACGAUGCAGACUCGAUGAUGCAUUGGCAUAAUAGCCAGUGCAGUGUCGCAGGGAAGCCGUUAAGUCUGCCGCCUGGGAAGUACGUAAGCAAGUAUGAAACUUAAAGGAAUUGGCG
rnacentral:rRNA from 1 species